CAGCCGUAAACUAUGCGCGUUAGGUGUAUCGGUGACCACGAGUUACCGAGGUGCCGAAGGGAAACCGUGAAACGUGCCGCCUGGGAAGUACGGUCGCAAGGCUGAAACUUAAAGGAAUUGGCGGGGGAGGCACCACAACAGGUGGAGCCUGCGGUUUAAUUUGGACUCAACGCCGGGAAGCUCACCGGAUAGGACAGCAGAAUGAUUGCCGGGCUGAAGACCCUGCAUGACUAGCUGAGAGGUGGUGCAUGGCGUCAUGACU
rnacentral:rRNA from 1 species